rnacentral:ncRNA from 1 species
CGGGGAUUGCAGCCUCCCCGUCGUCACCAAGACGCUCACGGCGUCCAAGGUCUGC